rnacentral:tRNA from 1 species
GUCUUGGUUAGCUCAGUUGGUAGAGGGCUCCAUUGGAAAUAGAGAGGUCGAUUGUUCGAUACCAGUACCAAACG